rnacentral:rRNA from 1 species
GAUGAACGCUGGCGGCGUGCCUAACACAUGCAAGUCGAGCGAACGGACGUGAAUCUUGCUUCUCUGAUGUUAGCGGCGGACGGGUGAGUAACACGUGGAUAACCUACCUAUAAGACUGGGAUAACUUCGGGAAACCGGAGCUAAUACCGGAUGAUAUUUUGAACCGCAUGGUUCACAAGUGAAAGACGGUCUUGCUGUCACUUAUAGAUGGUUCCGGGCUGCAUUAGCCAGUUGGUAAGGUAACGGCUUACCAAGGCAACGAUGCAUAGCCGACCUGAGAGGGUGAUCGGCCACACUGGGACUGAGACACGGGCCAGACUCCUACGGGAAGCAGCAGUAGGGAAUCUUGCGCGAUGGGCGAAAGCCUGACGGAGCAACGCCGAGUGGGUGAUGAAGGUCUUCGGGUCGUAAAACUCUGUUAUUAGGGAAGAAGAUAUGUGUAAGUAACUGUGCACAUCUUGACGGUACCUAAUCAGAAAGCCACGGCUAACUACGUG